AUUGAACGCUGGCGGCAGGCCUAACACAUGCAAGUCGAGCGGCAGCGGGAAAGUAGCUUGCUACUUUUGCCGGCGAGCGGCGGACGGGUGAGUAAUGCCUGGGAAAUUGCCCAGUCGAGGGGGAUAACAGUUGGAAACGACUGCUAAUACCGCAUACGCCCUACGGGGGAAAGCAGGGGACCUUCGGGCCUUGCGCGAUUGGAUAUGCCCAGGUGGGAUUCGCUAGUUGGUGAGGUAAUGGCUCAACAAGGCGACGAUCCCUAGCUGGUCCUGGAGUAUGAUCAGCCACACUGGAACUGAGACACGGUCCAGACUCCUACGGGAGGCAGCAGUGGGGAAUAUUGCACAAUGGUGGAAACCCUGAUGCAGCCAUGCCGCGUGUGGGAAGAAGGCCUUCGGGUUGUAAAGCACUUUCAGCGAGGAGGAAAGGUUGUUGGCUAAUACCCAACAGCUGUGACGUUACUCGCAGAAGAAGCACCGGCUAACUCCGUGCCAGCCGCCGCCGUAAUAC
rnacentral:rRNA from 1 species